AUUGAACGCUGGCGGCAGGCCUAACACAUGCAAGUCGAGCGAGCGGCGGACGGGUGAGUAAUGUAUGGGGACUGCCCGAUAGAGGGGGAUAACUACUGGACACUGUGGCUACUACCGCAUACUUUCGCAUAACCCAUAUGGGUUUAGCUAGUAGGUGGGGUAAAGGCUCACCUAGGCGACUAUCUCUAGCUGGUCUGAGAGGAGGAUAGGCGACACUGGGAAUGAGACACGGCCCAGAAUCCGACGGAGGGAGAAGUGGGGAAAAUUGCGCAAUGGGGGAAAGCGUAAGGCAGAGAUGCGGCGUGUAUGAAGAAGGCCUUAGGGUUGUAAAGUACUUUCAGCGGGGAGGCGUUACCAGCAGAAGAAGCACCGGCUAACUCCGUGCCAGCAGCCGCGGUAAUAC
rnacentral:rRNA from 1 species